GACGAACGCUGGCGGCGUGCUUAACACAUGCAAGUCGAACGGUGAAGCGCCUUCCUUUUUGGUGGGUGUGGAUGAGUGGCGAACGGGUGAGUAACACGUGAGUAACCUGCCCCCUUCUUCUGGAUAACCGCAUGAAAGUGUGGCUAAUACGGGAUAUUCUGGGUCUGUCGCAUGAUGGGUCUGGGAAAGAUAUUGUUUCGGUGGGGGAUGGGCUCGCGGCCUACCAGCUUGUUGGUGGGGUGAUGGCCUACCAAGGCGGUGACGGGUAGCCGGCCUGGGAGGGUGGACGGCCAAACUGGGACUGAGGCACGGCCCAGACUCCUACGGGAGGCAGCAGUGGGGAAUAUUGAACAAUGGGCGCAAGCCUGAUGCAGCGACGCCGCGUGAGGGAUGGAGGCCUUCGGGUUGUGAACCUCUUUCGCCAGUGAAGCAGGCCUGCCUCGUUUGUGGGUGGGUUGACGGUAGCUGGAUAAGAAGCGCCGGCUAACUACGUG
rnacentral:rRNA from 1 species